AAUUCCUAACAAGAGUUAAUAUCGACGGAGGAGUUUGGCACCUCGAUGUCGGCUCAUCACAUCCUGGGGCUGAAGUAGGUCCCUAGGGUAUGGCUGUUCGCCAUUUAAAGUGGUACGCGAGCUGGGUUAAGAACGUCGUGAGACAGUUCGGUCCCUAUCUGCCGUGGGCGUUAGAGAUUUGAGAAGAGUUGCUCCUAUUAAGAGAGUACCGGAGUGAACUAACCACUGGCGUUCAGGUUGUUUCG
rnacentral:rRNA from 1 species